AUGGGUAUGGGAGGAAUGGGCAAAGCUCACUGCUCAGAGCUCAAGGAAUGAGUUGUUUGAGUCUUCCCUAAACCUCCCAAACCCAU
rnacentral:pre_miRNA from 1 species